UGCUCUAUCACCCACACUGAACCCGUCUCGGCAUGUCGUUCGUCCACGGCUCCGCAAGUGUGACUUAUACAAAGUACUCCAGUGUAAUUUCUGGCUCUGUGAAGAUGCAGAUGGAGCAAGUGAAGGAGUGGUUUUCCCAAGAGAAGAAAAAGCAUCAAAAUGUAGUUACUUUAUAAGGACUGUUUUUAUGGCAAAAGCACUUUUUAAUGAGAAGAAGAAGAGUCAUCUUUCUUCACACUAUAUAUAUAACUUCAUAAACCAUCCCUUUGAACUAUUUGCAUGCACCAUAAGCUACAUCCAAAAAUCCAUGAAACUCUUAAAAAAGUUAACAUUUUGUUGAAAGUUUGCCUACUACAUUUUUGUAUAUACAAAAGUAGAAACAAUUUGACUUUUCUCUAGGUCUAAGAGGAUUUUACUGAGAUAAAACAAGUAGUUCAGAAGUUAGUCAGAAGUCUGGUUUUAGAGCAAACAUAGUAUCUUGUAAUAGAGGGGAAGAAGGAAGAGAACACAUCAGGAUCUGAUGGGUUUUAUCUUUCAAAACCCCGUUGUCUGAUAACGUAAAGAUGGAAAUCUUCAGUUAGCAGCAAGAUGUUCAUAAAAACAGCUGAAUUCAGUGAAUGACUUGUUUUCUGGGGACAACGGUGGAUGUUGGAGAUGGCAGAAGAUUUCCAGGGGUCAGCCAACCUGGCUGCUGGGAAAAGAAGAAGAGUGAGUGGAUGUAUAAUGAAGGAAAGAAUAGUCACUCUCCAUCUCAAAUAGCCUGCAACACUGUCAAGCAGCUUGAUGUACAUCUUGGGUUACUAGCUAAACAUGAAGGUUAUCUAAAAAUUCUUUUUCAAAAUAUUUUUCUAUGUCACACUGACAUUGGAAUAUGAGUGAUAUUUUUAGAAAUGUCAGUAAUACAGGUAAUAAACAUCAAUGUUUUAACUGAAAGUAAAAAAUUAUGCAUGACUCGUCACCCUUUCAGCCCUUUUCCAGCUCUGUCUCAGUACCCCAUACCCGAAGCAAACAUCUUCAAAUAUUUGGUUAUUGAUCAGCAGCUAGCUUGAAAAGACUUAGAGAAAUGGAGAGCUAUUUAGACAAACAGACAAUGAAAUAUACAGUUUAAGUAUCCCAACAGAGAUUUCUUGUUUUCCUCCUGUCAGAAAAGGAAUAUAUUAAUGAAGAGCUCAGGUUACUAAAUAUAUAUGACAUAUGUACAUUUAGUACAUAUUAGAAUUAGCUUCAUGCCAACUGAGAUAUUUUCCAAAGUCCCUGCAAAUACUUGCUUAAAGGAUUUUUAUGCAUAAUUAUUUAUUAUUGGCAGCAAUUUGAUGAUUUUCAUUAAAAAAACACAUCGAGGGAAGAAGAUGCAGAAGACAGAAUAACUGUCUUUUUAAUAGAUUGACAAGGGGAUUGAAUUAAAAUUGCCUAGGUGAAUUUCAAUUUUAUAUACCUUAACUUUUGAAUGCCUCACUUUACAACUGUAAUUUUAUUUUAGUGCAGUUAAAACGCAUAAUGCAUGUAUUAAAGAAGAACGAGAAGAAGAUGCACUAAAUCAAUGUACUCUAAAAUCACCAGUAAACUUCCAUAAUAGUAAUGGAUAUGUCUGCAAUAAAAGAAAUUUGUCUGGA